AGUUUGAUCCUGGCUCAGAAUCGACACUGGCGGCGUGCCUCAGACAUGCAAGUCGAACGCGAAAGCCCCCCUCGGGGGGCAAGUAGAGUGGCGCACGGGUGAGUAACACGUAGGUAAUCUACCUUUGGAUGGGGAAUAACAACCGGAAACGGUUGCUAAUACCGCAUAAUGCAGCGGCACCUAAUGGUGACAGUUGUUAAAGCGGGGGAUCGCAAGACCUCGCGUCUGAAGAGGAGCCUGCGGCGGAUUAGCUAGUUGGUAAGGUAACGGCUUACCAAGGCGAUGAUCCGUAGCCGGCCUGAGAGGGCGGUCGGCCACAUUGACACUGACAUACGGGUCAGACUCCUACGGGAGGCAGCAGUCGGGAAUUUUGGGCAAUGGGCGAAAGCCUGACCCAGCAACGCCGCGUGAAGGAUGAAAUCCUUUGGGAUGUAAACUUCGCAAGAACGGGAAGAAUAAGUAAGAGCUAACAUCUCUUACGAUGACGGUACUGUUUGUAAGCUCCGGCUAACUCCGUGCCAGCAGCCGCGGUAAUACGGGGGGAGCAAGCGUUGUUCGGAUUUACUGGGCGUAAAGGGCGCGUAGGCGGCCACCGCAAGUCGACUGUGAAAUCUCCGGGCUUAACCCGGAAAGG
rnacentral:rRNA from 1 species